UUAAGUUCAGCGGGUAUCCCUACCUGAUCCGAGGUCAAGUCAUAAAGAGAGCUUGCUGGACGCGUGUCCACCAGGACUUCGAGAAGCGCAAAUGUGCUGCGCGAGAAGCUGGCACGACCGCUGCCAAUGACUUUGGGGCGAGUCCCCCCCCGAAGAGGGGACAGACGCCCAACACCAAGCAGAGCUUGAGGUUUCCAAUG
rnacentral:misc_RNA from 1 species